rnacentral:rRNA from 1 species
AUUGAACGCUGGCGGCAUGCUUUACACAUGCAAGUCGGACGGCAGCACAGAGAAGCUUGCUUCUUGGGUGGCGAGUGGCGAACGGGUGAGUAACAUAUCGGAACGUACCGAGCAGUGGGGGAUAACUAAUCGAAAGAUUAGCUAAUACCGCAUAUCCUCUGAGGAAGAAAGCAGGGGACCAUUUGGCCUUGCGCUGUUUGAGCGGCCGAUAUCUGAUUAGCUAGUUGGUGGGGUAAAGGCCUACCAAGGCGACGAUCAGUAGCGGGUCUGAGAGGAUGAUCCGCCACACUGGGACUGAGACACGGCCCAGACUCCUACGGGAGGCAGCAGUGGGGAAUUUUGGACAAUGGGCGAAAGCCUGAUCCAGCCAUGCCGCGUGUCUGAAGAAGGCCUUCGGGUUGUAAAGGACUUUUGUCAGGGAAGAAAAGGGCGGGGUUAAUACCCCUGUCUGAUGACGGUACCUGAAGAAUAAGCACCGGCUAACUACGUGCCAGCAGCCGCGGUAAUACGUAGGGUGCGAGCGUUAAUCGGAAUUACUGGGCGUAAAGCGGGCGCAGACGGUUACUUAAGCAGGAUGUGAAAUCCCCGGGCUCAACCUGGGAACUGCGUUCUGAACUGGGUGACUAGAGUGUGUCAGAGGGAGGUAGAAUUCCACGUGUAGCAGUGAAAUGCGUAGAGAUGUGGAGGAAUACCGAUGGCGAAGGCAGCCUCCUGGGAUAACACUGACGUUCAUGCCCGAAAGCGUGGGUAGCAAACAGG